AUACCUACCUGGCUGAGGAGAUACCAUAUCAUGAAAGUGGUUUUCCUAGGGUGAAGCUCAUCCAUUGCACUCCAGGUGUGCUGAGCCCUGCGAUUUCCCCAAAUGCGGAAAAUGUGUGCAUAAUUUGUGGUAGUUAUAAGAGUAUUACUAUUAUAG